rnacentral:lncRNA from 1 species
UCAACCCUUCAUUCCAUCAAAACAACCCUCUAUAUAAUAGUUGGUAUGUUUUCCCUAAUUUCAAUUCAAUUUCAUCACCCCUGUCAAUUCAAUUCUUCUUUCUCUCCUCCUCUCCAACCUAUCACGUAUCAAGAAUUCAUGGUUUUCACAUGGAUAGGAUUCCGAUCUACUCGCCAAUCGUCCUUUUCCUACGAAAUGGUGCGAUUACUUUUCGGUUCGACUUUUUUCUUGCUUACGUUCUUUCACUCUUACGUGUCCGUGUUUUAUUGUUUUUCCAGGAUUUGAAGCGCGGUGUCACCGAUCUACCGUUCAGAGGUAUGAUGAUCGUGUUCUUGUUGAUUGUCUCAUGAAGUCUUGGUGAAUAUAGCGCGGAUCGAGAGAACAAGAUUAGGCCGGUGCAGUGGUUCAUUCUUGUCGUUCCACUGUGGAGUUCUUGGCAUUCGGAUUUAAAGAAUGAUAUGAGGGUUUUUGAGGGAAAAUCUUCGGUGUAAAUGGUAGAAUGAGUAUUUGGGGUUGAAGUGGUUGUGGAGAACUUGGUCAACCGACCUUUGCCAUGGCAGGUGCGCUUGCAUGGCAGGUCAAAAAAAUGAAUAAAAAAAAGAUUAUUUGUGGGUUUUGAGGGAGAUCGUACGGGAAUUCCCGGGUUCUCCCUCCGGUGUGGUGGCGUGUUUGAUGUGUUCCUUUUCCUUCCUCUGCCCUUUCUUUUAUAUCUUUCUUUUCCUCGCUCACACUCCUUGCCACGGAUACACCACCACUGGACUCGCUUCGCCAUUCUUCUAACGAG